GAUGAACGCUAGCGGCAGGCCUAAUACAUGCAAGUCGAACGAUAGAAGAGGGCUUGCUCUCUUCGAAAGUGGCGCACGGGUGCGUAACGCGUAUGCAACCUACCUUAAUCAGGGGGAUAGCCCGAAGAAAUUCGGAUUAACACCGCAUAAAAUCACAGUACAGCAUUGUACAAUGAUCAAAUAUUUAUAGGAUUAAGAUGGGCAUGCGUGACAUUAGCUAGUUGGCGGGGUAACGGCCCACCAAGGCGACGAUGUCUAGGGGAUCUGAGAGGGGGACCCCCCACACUGGUACUGAGACACGGACCAGACUCCUACGGGAGGCAGCAGUAAGGAAUAUUGGUCAAUGGAGGCAACUCUGAACCAGCCAUGCCGCGUGCAGGAAGACAGCCCUCUGGGUCGUAAACUGCUUUUAUUCGGGAAUAAACCUACGUACGUGUAAGUAGCUGAAUGUACCGAAGGAAUAAGGAUCGGCUAACUCCGUGCCAGCAGCCGCGGUAA
rnacentral:rRNA from 1 species